GUCAACUUCCCAGCGCUCGAGCGCAGGAAACUGGAUGACCGGUACACAAUUGACGUCACGUGCCUUAGAUGGGGAGCUCGGAAGUUAAAGGGCCUACAAUAUAUAUUUAAACAUUGAAGAAGCAAAAGGUUGACACCUCAUCUUCAAGUAUGACGGGUGCUGCUCCUGAUAUGUCCUCCUACACUUUCCAAUGAACCAGAAACUGAUCCCCUGGCUUGAUGGUGGCUGCUCCUAGUUAAUCCUGGGUGUCAGUGAGCGAAGUCUGCUGCUCGAGAGGUAAGUGCGUGCUCCUGAUGGGGUCCCCUAAGAGCCAGACGCAGCCUUGAGCGUUCUGGGGUGUCUUGUGGCCAGUUCAGUCAGGCCUCCUCCAUGUUGGGUCACUGUGUUCCUUGUUCCAGUGCUGGUUGGAAUUCAGUUCCGUGUUUCCACGACAACAACAAGUCAGAAUACAGGAAAGAGAUUGAGAGCUUAAAGACAACAAUCUCUCCAUCAACAUCGGCAAAACAAAGGAACUGGUCAUUGACUUCAGGAAGCAGAGUGGAGGGCGCGCCCCUGUCUGCAUCAAUGGUCUGAGGUGGAGAUUGCUGAGAGUGUCAAGUUCCUGGGAGUGAUGACCACCAACAAUCUGUCCUGGUCCACCUAUGUCAGCGCAAUAGUCAAGAAAGGACAACAACGUCUCUACUUCCUUAGGAGGUUAAGGAAAUUUGGCAUGUCCACAAGGAUUGUUGCCAAUUUUUAUAAUUUCAUCACAGAAGGCAUUCUAUCUGGAUGCAUCACAUCAUGGUUUGGCAACUGCUCUUCCCGUGACUGCAAGAAACUACAGAGAGUUGUGAACUUAGCCCAGUCCAUCAUGCAAACCAGCCUUCCAUCUGUUUACUCCAUCUAUACUACCGCUGCCUUGUGAAAGCAACCACGGUAAUCAAAGAUCCCUCCUACCCUGUUAUACUCUCUUCCAUUCUCUUCUGUUGGGCAGAAGAUACAAAAGCUUGCAUAUGCGUACGAACAGAUUCAAGAACAGUUGUUAGGCUUCUGAAUGGACCUGUCAAAAUUUAAAUUUAAUGUUGCUCUCGCUGUCUGUGCACUUUCUGUGCAGCUGUAACAUUGUAUUCUUCACUCUGUUCCAUUUACCUAUGCACUUUGUGGUAUGAUCUGCCUGUGCUGCACGCAAAGCAAAACUUUUCACUGUACCUAGGUAUAUGUGACAAUAAUAAAUCAAAUUAAAUUUUCA